UCCAGACUUCCCGCUCUACAUAAAGCACAAAGACCUCUCUGAAAUCGCACACGGUGGUCAAUGUCUCAGUAUAUCCGUGUUAUAGUUUUGGAUUCUGCAUAUGACUGAAACAAGUAUGUGAGUUGCGAAUUCUGAUAUCUAUGGAUUCCUUGAGCCAUAGUCCAUUUAGAGGUCUGGACAAUCGCAGUUUGAGACUAAAAGUUACAUAAAGAGUUGGAUGCAGAGUUCAAAACACGAUGUCUACCUUGGAGCCUACCUGAAUGGCGGACACUGGCAGAUGGUGGUCAUCGUGCCCAAGGAACA